rnacentral:rRNA from 1 species
GCUACGGGUGGCAGCAGUGGGGAAUAUUGCACAAUGGGGGAAACCCUGAUGCAGCGACGCCGCGUGAGUGAAGAAGUAAUUCGUUACGUAAAGCUCUAUCAGCAGGGAAGAAAAUGACGGUACCUGAGUAAGAAGCCCCGGCUAACUACGUGACAGCAGCCGCGGUAAUACGGAGGGGGCAAGCGUGAUCCGGAUGUACUGGGUGUAAAGGGAGCGUAUACGGUGCGCCAAGUCUGUUGUGAAAUGCCGCAGCUUAACUGCGGAACUGAAUUGGAAACUGGCGAACUAGAGUGCGGGAGGGGUAAGCGGAAUUCCUGGUGUAGCGGUGAAAUGCGUAGAUAUUAGGAGGAACACCGAUGGCGAAGGCGGCUUACUAGACCGUAACUGACGUUGAGGCUCGAAAGCGUGGGGAGCAAACAGGAUUAGAUACCCUAGUAGUC